UACAGAGGGGGCGAGCGUUAUUCGGAGUUACUGGGCUUAAAGGGCGCGUAGGCGGCCUUCUAAGUCGAUUGUGAAAUCCCCGGGCUCAACCCGGGAACUGCGUCCGAUACUGGGAGGCUUGAAUCCGGGAGAGGGAUGUGGAAUUCCAGGUGUAGCGGUGAAAUGCGUAGAUAUCUGGAGGAACACCGGUGGCGAAGGCGGCAUCCUGGACCGGUAUUGACGCUGAGGCGCGAAAGCCAGGGGAGCAAACGGG
rnacentral:rRNA from 1 species